rnacentral:rRNA from 1 species
GGAAUAUUGGACAAUGGGGGCAACCCUGAUCUAGCCAUGCCGCGUGGACGAUGAAGGCCUUAGGGUUGUAAAGUCCUUUCGCUGAGGAAGAUAAUGACGGUACUCAGUAAAGAAGCCCCGGCUAACUCCGUUCCAGCAGCCGCGGUAAUACGGAGGGGGCUAGCGUUGUUCGGAAUUACUGGGCGUAAAGCGCACGUAGGCGGAUUAGUAAGUUGGGGGUGAAAUCCCGGGGCUCAACCUCGGAACUGCCUUCAAAACUGCUAGUCUUGAGUUCGAGAGAGGUGAGUGGAAUUCCGAGUGUAGAGGUGAAAUUCGUAGAUAUUCGGAGGAACACCAGUGGCGAAGGCGGCUCACUGGCUCGAUACUGACGCUGAGGUGCGAAAGCGUGGGGAGCAAA